rnacentral:rRNA from 1 species
CAUAUAGGCGGUUUGGUAAGUCGGUCGUGAAAAUGCGGUGCUUAACGCCGUAUGGCGAUCGAAACUGCGGAACUUGAGUGCAGGAGAGGAAAGGGGAACUCCCAGUGUAGCGGUGAAAUGCGUAGAUAUUGGGAAGAACACCGGUGGCGAAGGCGCCUUUCUGGACUGUGUCUGACGCUCAGAUGCGAAAGCCAGGGUAGCGAACG